UAGCAGCAAGAAAUAGUUGGCCUUAAUAGCAGCAAGAAAGGACGAAGAUCAAUGUGAUUGAUAUCCUGAUGUUUGUAAGAGAGCAUAACAGGUGGUUCUUAACAAUAGAAAGAUCAGGUGGAAGUAGUUUGCACAUCUGUGCAUUAAUAUUCUUCAAAGAAAUAAGAGAUCCAAUGAAGCUUGCGCUAUGUAUGAGAAGCUACAGUCUCACCCAAAUGUG